rnacentral:lncRNA from 1 species
GCACCGCGAGAGAGGAAGUAACCAGCACGAGGAGAAACUUUACAGAUUCAAGUAUGGCAGUGCUUUAACUAUGGAGAGCUAUACCCAUAUUUUAAUGGGAGAACAGGCCACUAAGAAGAACGAAUCUUCCUGCAAUUUUCUCGUCGGAGCAAACUCCCAGCUCAGAGUCCAGUCUCGGCGCUGGAAGAAGAACCAAAAUAGUCUCCAUGGGUGUUGGGAGAUGCACAUCCCGACCCCAGCCUGUGUCAGGAAGCAGCCGUGGACC